CAGGACGAAGGCUUCGGGUUGUAAACUGCUUUUGUACGGAACGAAACGGUCUUCUUUAAUACAGDGGGCUAAUGACGGUACCGUAAGAAUAAGCACCGGCUAACUACGUGCCAGCAGCCGCGGUAAUACGUAGGGUGCGAGCGUUAAUCGGAAUUACUGGGCGUAAAGCGUGCGCAGGCGGUUAUAUAAGUCAGAUGUGAAAUCCCCGGGCUCAACCUGGGAACUKCAUUUGAGACUGUAUAGCUAGAGUACGGUAGAGGGGGAUGGAAUUCCGCGUGUAGCAGUGAAAUGCGUAGAUAUGCGGAGGAACACCGAUGGCGAAGGCAAUCCCCUGGACCUGUACUGACGCUCAUGCACGAAAGCGCUGGGGAGCACACAVGGAUUAGAUACCCUGGUAGUCCACGCCCUAAACGAUGUCAACUGGUUGUUGGGUCUUCACUGACUCAGUCACGARCKAACGCGUGAAGUUGACCGCCUBGGGGAG
rnacentral:rRNA from 1 species